AAGGAUGUAGUAUAAUGGUAGUACAAUAGAUUCCAAAUCUGUUUGUGGUGGUUCGAUUCCAUUCAUCCUUG
rfam:Trichosporon asahii var. asahii CBS 8904 mitochondrion, complete sequence, whole genome shotgun sequence.